rnacentral:rRNA from 1 species
UUCUAAGGGCGCAUGGUGGAUGCCUUGGCAACAGGAGCCGAAGAAGGACGUGGGAAUCUGCGAUAAGCCUGGUGGAGUCGAUAACCGGACGUUGAGACCAGGAUUUCCGAAUGGGGAAACCCCGCACGACGUGUCGUGUGACCACCGGUUGAACACAUAGACCGGUUGGAGGGAACGUGGGGAAGUGAAACAUCUCAGUACCCACAGGAAGAGAAAACAAAAGUGAUUCCGUUAGUAGUGGCGAGCGAACGCGGAUGGGGCUAAACCGUAUGUGUGUGAUACCCGGCAGGGGUUGCAUGUGCGGUGUUGUGGGCCCCUCCUUGUCAUGUCUGCCGGCAUGGCGCAGUGAGGUGCGGGCAUAUAGACGAACCAGUGUGGAUGCUGGACCGUAGAGGGUGAGAGUCCCGUAGUCGAAAUGUGUUCCGCCGCUGUUGGAGGGUCGCCCGAGUAGCACGGGGCCCGAGGAAUCCCGUGUGAAUCUGCCAGGACCACCUGGUAAGCCUGAAUACUACCUGUUGACCGAUAGCGGAUCAGUACCGUGAGGGAAUGGUGAAAAGUACCCCGGGAGGGGAGUGAAAUAGUACCUGAAACCAUGUGCCUACAAACCGUUGGAGCCUCCUUGUUGGGGUGACAGCGUGCCUUUUGAAGAAUGAGCCUGCGAGUUAGUGAUACGUGGCGAGGUUAACCCGUGUGGGGAAGCCGUAGCGAAAGCGAGUCUGAAUAGGGCGCUUUAGUUAGUAGUGGUAGACGCGAAACCGUGUGAUCUACCCAUGGGCAGGGUGAAGCUGUAGUAACAUACAGUGGAGGCCCGAACCGAUAUACGUUGAAAAGUGUUCGGAUGACCUGUGGGUAGGGGUGAAAGGCCAAUCAAACUCUGUGAUAGCUGGUUCUCCCCGAAAUGCAUUUAGGUGCAGCGUUGAUUUAUAGUUUUAUAGAGGUAGAGCUACUGAUUGGAUGCGGGGGCUUCACCGCCUACCAAUUCCUGACAAACUCCGAAUGCUAUAAAAUGAUAAUCAGCAGUGAGGGCAUGGGUGCUAAGGUCCAUGUCCGAGAGGGAAAGAACCCAGACCAUCAGCUAAGGUCCCAAAAUAUAUGUUAAGUUGAAUAAACGAGGUUGAACUGCUUAGACAGCUAGGAUGUUGGCUUGGAAGCAGCCAUUCAUUUAAAGAGUGCGUAACAGCUCACUAGUCGAGCGGUUCGGCAUGGAUAAUAAUCGGGCAUAAACAUAUUACCGAAGCUAUGGAUUUACAGUUUACUGUAAGUGGUAGGGGAGCAUUGUAGUGUCGUCGAAGGUGUGCUGUGAGGCAUGCUGGAGAAGCUACAAAAGAAAAUGUAGGCAUAAGUAACGAUAAUGCGGGCGAGAAACCCGCACACCGAAAGACUAAGGUUUCCUCAGCUAUGCUAAUCAGCUGAGGGUUAGUCGGGACCUAACGCGAACCCGAAAGGGGUAGUGGAUGGACAACAGGUUAAUAUUCCUGUACCUGCUCACACUAAAAGUGACGGAGGCGAAAAGUUAGUGCGUACUGACGGAAUAGUACGUUGAAGCGAGUAGUAAUACCGCGAUAGUACACUGAGACUACGGUCAAGGUGAUAAUCUAGCAAAUCGACUUCCAAGAAAAGCGAGUGAAGCAGCCCGUACCCUAAACCGACACAGGUAGUUGGGAUGAGAAUUCUAAGGUGCUCGAGAGAUUCAUGGCUAAGGAACUAGGCAAAAUAGACCCGUAACUUCGGGAGAAGGGUCGCCCUGUAGCAAUACAGGGCCGCAGUGAAAAGGUCCAGGCGACUGUUUAUCAAAAACACAGGUCCAUGCGAAGUCGUAAGACGAUGUAUAUGGACUGACUCCUGCCCGGUGCUGGAAGGUUAAGAGGAUUGGUUAGC